ACCUAUAGCCAUACCACCCUGAACACACCCAAUCUCAUCUGAUCUCCAAAGCUAAACAGGGUUGGGCCUAGUUGGUACUUGGAUGAGGAAACUUACAAAUGUGCGAAAAUUA
rnacentral:rRNA from 1 species